UACGUAGGGUGCAAGCGUUGUCCGGAUUUAUUGGGCGUAAAGAGCUCGUAGGCGGUCUGUCGCGUCGGAUGUGAAAACCCAGGGCUCAACCCUGGGCCUGCAUUCGAUACGGGCAGACUAGAGUACGGCAGGGGAGACUGGAAUUCCUGGUGUAGCGGUGGAAUGCGCAGAUAUCAGGAAGAACACCCGUGGCGAAGGCGGCUCUCUGGAACGCAACUGACGCUGAGACGCGAAAGCGUGGGGAGCAAACAGG
rnacentral:rRNA from 1 species